rnacentral:rRNA from 1 species
CCUACGGGAGGCAGCAGUGGGGAAUAUUGCACAAUGGGGGAAACCCUGAUGCAGCGACGCCGCGUGAGUGAAGAAGUAACUCGUUAUGUAAAGCUCUAUCAGCAGGGAAGAAAAUGACGGUACCUGAGCCAGAUGCUACGGCUAACUACGUGCCAGCUGCCGCGGCAAUACGUAGGGGGCAAGCGUUAUCCGGAUUUACUGGGUGUAAAGGGAGCGUAGACGGGAGUGCAAGUCUGGAGUGAAAGGCGGAGGCUCAACCCCCGGAUUGCACUGGAAACUGUACGGCUGGAGUGCAGGUGAGGUAGGUGGAAUUCCUAGUGUAGCGGUGAAAUGCGUAGAUAUUAGGAGGAACACCAGUGGCGAAGGCAGCUUACUAAACUGUAACUGACAUUGAGGCUCGAAAGCGUGGGGAGCAAACAGGAUUAGAUACCCUGGUAGUC